UUUUGAUAACAGAGGUCAGCUUUGGUUAUUCACAGGUCUUGAAGUGCAUCUUGUUUUUUGAAGCAGAGUCUCCUCUGAACUUAGGAGUUCCUGGAUUUGGCUAGACUGGCCAGCUUUCAAAAUCUGCAGAUCUUCCUGUGUCCAGGAUUACAGCACAAACCACCAUUUCUAGAGUUUUUCCUUGGUUGAUGGAGGAUGAAAUGUAGGACCUCUUACUAAUAAGGCUGGAGUUUCAAAAUGAAAACAACUUCUCAGUUGCUGUGGUGGCCCUUGCCCUCCAUCUGAGCUCUUGGGAGUUGGAGGCAGACAGGAGGACCCCUGGCUGCCACCUAGAGUAACAAGUUCUACCUCAGUGGGACCUGAAAUCUGCCACAACCUAGGAGAGUGAGGACCCUGCAGAAGCAGGUGUCCUCUAAUGGUGAAGAGAGAGAGGAACUCAUUCCCAGAAACCUGAACACACUGUGAGAAACUCCUCACCCUCUCUCUCACCUCCCUACUUGACAGUUCUUGUUAUUCUUCAGCAUAGGAGGGAAAGAGUUCCUGACUGACAUUAGGCUCUGCCACUUUGAUCUCAGACAGACACCGUGAUGCAAGGACUCUGGGUGAUCAGGGGUUUGUUCUCUGCUUUACACUGAGUCCCUUUUCCCGUGAGUAGGGUUCCUGAUGCUAUGAUGAAGCACCAUGCCACCAAAAAAAUUAGAAAUGAAACUCUAGCUUCUGCCAACUUGACAAAAAACUACCAGCACAACUGAACCCUUGUCACCUUGACACACAACUGCAACACAUUUAUUUAUGUAUUUAUUUAUUUUGAUACAUUUUUCUACUUUUUAUUUUUAUUUUUAUUAUAU